UACGUAGGGGGGCAAGCGUUGUCCGGAAUCAUUGGGCGUAAAGAGCGUGUAGGCGGCUCGAUAAGUCCGCUGUGAAAAGUCCAGGGCUCAACCCUGGAAGGCCGGUGGAAACUGUCGGGCUAGAGUCCGGAAGAGGCGAGUGGAAUUCCCGGUGUAGCGGUGAAAUGCGCAGAUAUCGGGAGGAACACCAAUGGCGAAGGCAGCUCGCUGGGACGGUACUGACGCUGAGACGCGAAAGCGUGGGGAGCAAACAGGG
rnacentral:rRNA from 1 species